AAAAUUUUAGUUUAAAAAAUAUUUUAUUUACAUUAAAAAGAUUAAUUGAAAAUUAAAAUUUUA
rnacentral:tRNA from 1 species